rnacentral:lncRNA from 1 species
GGGGGGUGUUGACGCGCCGUCGACGCGCGAGGGUUCCAUUGGCUGGCGCGGAGGCGAGGAUCCAGCUGCUGAGCAGAGCGGGGCUGGGCUGGCUGCCGGUGGGAGACGGGAGACGCGGCUCAGGAAGAUGAAGAUCCAGUUUUGAAGAUGAGACUCAUUGUGUGAUCAUUUCAUUGAGGUAACUUGAAUGACCAGGUGUAAAGUGCAAGAGGAAUGUACAGUGACAGAGGCAACUCAAAUUAUUUUAUUGCCAACCUCUACCUCUUUUGAUUCUGCAAGAGAAACAGUGCCUCCAGCAGUCCCUGAAGCCCAGGAAUCCAGUCAGUUUUCCAACAGACUCGUGAUCGAAAAACAGCAGGAGGAAGCAGAAUGGGAAAUCACAAAUGUGCUGUUAAUGAGGCAUGGCUUAAAACCUUUGUGCCUGGUCAAAAGGACAGAUUUUAAAGAUCUUAUCAUUUUUGAUAAAGUCAUCACAAAGGACGAGGCAGAAUUUGAAAAUGUUGGUGGAAGAAACAGAACGUCAACAGAACAUGAUACAAGAGCUCAUAGAAACUAAUCAGCAGCUUAAGUUGCCUUGCCUAAUUGACUACUAUAAAUCUAAAAUUAGAAAAAUCCACACACAAAGGCAAUAUAAAAAAGAUGAAAGUCAAUCAGAAGAAGAAAAAGAUUAUAGAAAUCUGAAUGGCUCACCAACUUAUAAAGGCCCUCUACUGUCAUUACAGAAUCAACUCAAGGAAUCAAACUCCAAGACUGAUGCACUUUUAAGUGAAAAGCUGAACCUCCAAAAAGAUUUAGAAAGCAGGCCCACACAACAUGGAUUAAGACUUUAUAAACAGCAAGUGAAGAAACUGGAGAAAGCCCUCAAGAAAAACAUUAAAUUACAGGAGCUUAUCAGUCAUACAAAAACUGAGGACACAGAGAAAAAAGAUGAAUCUAGCAAAGAAAGCCAUCAACAAGCUCUAGUUGACCAGAGAUUCUUUCAGGUAUUACCUAGCAUCAAUUCAAUUAUUCACAAUCCAAGAGCUCCAGUAAUAAUUCAUAAACAGAGCAAAGAAGGAACCCAACAUUUUAACAAAGACUUUGUUCAAGACUGUGGGUUUGAACAUCUUGUUCCUAUAAUAGAAAUGUGA